GACGACCUACUGAUCCGUCAAGUUGUGCCGGACGCGGAGGAGCACCUGCUCAACGCCGAGAACCACUUUUCCGCCUUCAAGACCAGGUUUGGCAGGACCUACGCUACGAAGGAGGAGCACGACUACCGCUUCCGCAUCUUCAAGAACAACUUGCUCCGAGCGAAGUCGCACCAGAAGCUGGACCCCUCCGCCGUCCACGGCGUCACGAAGUUCUCCGAUCUCACUCCGGCGGAAUUUAGCCGCCAGUUUCUGGGCUUGAAGCCGCUUCGUCUUCCCUCCGAUGCUCAGAAGGCUCCGAUUCUGCCGACCAGCGAC
rnacentral:lncRNA from 1 species